ACCCUCUUGUAGAUCAUAAGCAGAUGUGUGGGGUAUGUCUCCCUCAAACGCUGUUAUGACGCCAGCACAUUACCUGUCUGAUG
ensembl:snoRNA